GAACAUUGUUGCUGGAAAGAGAUGACACUGCCGAAGCAAUUAUGCUCUAUUUUUUUUUCCAAAAACCCUUCAUGCUUAGCAAUUUUGAAAAUUAUUUUAUCUGAAAAAAUUACAUCUCCUAAGUGUGUUGUAGAAGGCUGCAGAGUUGACCUUACAGAAGUGUUGCUAAAUAGGAGGAUUUUAUAACUGGAAGAAAAUGUAGAGUCCAUCUGCCUGGCCCCGUGUUUGCAUGUCACAGGUCUGUGAAGUGCUACGGUGAGGACCCCCCGGCAGCCUCUGCUCUCAACAUAUCCUCCGUGAAUCAGUUCCGCCCUUCCCUGAUUGCGGCUGUCUGAAAAUAAAUCCCUCUCUGAAAGCGCUCGUUGGUGAUAAUCAUUUUACUGGACAUUUUAUCAGGAGGCAGAGCCAAUUGAUGUGGUGUAACACAGAGCCCUGAUGAAAACACCAUCAUGCUGCUUCCCGCUUCUCUCUUUCCUUCCUCGAGGUUCUAUUUCUGCCAGCAAUCUCAUUUUUGCCACCAGUGCUGACGAUAACGAAAUCUCCUUAUUGUCCUGUUGCUUUUGGAUUCCAACGCGCCUUUCUGAGGGCCACCCAGCUCCUUCCUGCCACUGCGGUGCAUCCCGCGCAGAUGCCACUCCCACACACAACUGGGCUGCUGUUCUGGUGUCCUUUACCCACUCUUCCGCUAAGGUGCUCUGUCAGCGCUUUUUCUUCUUUUGAGGAUCUGUCUCACCUCCGUGCCUCGGGGCCACCGACCUAGUGAAGGAUGGACACGUGCCCCAACAAGCCUCCCUCUCCCGGGAAUGGGGCUCUCCUGGGACCCGGUCAGUGACCCCACAGCCGUCUGCUCCUGGGGCCUUGAGGCCUACUCCAAUCCUCACCCAUGUCCAUGGCUCUGCAUUGUCUUUAGUGGUAUCCUGUAUCUGAGUAUCAAUUUUAGCUGGAAUAUUUUGUAUUGCUGGAAAAUGAAGAAAAUUAAGUGAUGGAAACAUUCAUCAGGAUAUUAAAACUUUUUGAAUUGAUUUAUCCUAGUUGUACGUAUUUUGGGGGGUACAUGUGAUAUUGUGAUACAUUUAUACAGUGUGUAAUCAUCAAACUAGGGCAAUAGGGUUAUUCAGUACCUCAAACAUUUUAUCAGACUGUUACUGUAAUGAACGUUUUCCCAUAUUUCUGCUUAUACCGAUUAAGUAAAUUUUAAUUUCCUUGACCAUAAAAUAAGUGCUUGCUGUGAGAGUAGACAAGGAACUUUGGGAUGAAUCCAUGCUCCCUGCAUGACUCAACGUUUGAGGACCAAGCAGCCACCACACACAGGCACACACAGGCACACAGAGUUGCACAGAGUCACACACAGGCACACACAGGUACACACAGCCACACACAGGCACACACAGUGGUGCUGCGUCCUGGCUCAGGGAGGGGCAUGUGAGCCGUGGCCCUCAGAGGUGAGCUCCUGCUGGGACUGCCAGGUCAGGCCCUCCUCCAGGACAUCACUGGGACCUCACUUACAGUUGCUGUCACCAACCUACCAUCACCUCACAUUGUCCCGACAGUGAUUCUGCCCUUGAACUUAUUUCUGCUUUCUCCCAUGGUCCAAGUCUCAGCUUAGCCUGGCCUGCACAGUGGCCUCAUGCUGGUUAGUCUGGUUCAGCACAGACAGUCAAGCCUCACUUUACAUGCUGCUGUCAUGCUCCCCUGGGAAACUCCAUAAAAUCACACACAUUUCAUACCAGAGGGACUUAAAAGAUCAUAGAGCUUUGAAAGUUAUAUUUUGCUUUGCAACUUUCUUCCCCAAAUGUUUUUGCAAAAGCCUAAGUGGCUCUUGGAACAGCGGGGCUCCCAGGAACACAGCUGGAGCAGGGCCCUCUUCAGCCUCCCUUAGAAUGCGAGGAGACUGAGGAGUAGACGAAGCUCAAUAGCAGCUAAAAUGGUGGUGGUGGAGUGCAGAAGAAAACUCAAGGCUUUUUUUUUCUAUCAUUAUUCCAAUUUUUAUUAACUUAAGAAUGAUCUUUUGGUCUGUGAAGGAUUUUUCAUUUAUACCCUCUUAUGCCCUAGUCUAACAUUUUGCAAAAAUUUAACCCAGCAAAACUAGGAUAAGUUAAUUAGAUGUGUCAGGAAAAUGAAACCAGGCUAGUA
rnacentral:lncRNA from 1 species